UUUAAUUGAAGAGUUUGAUCAUGGCUCAGAUUGAACGCUGGCGGCAGGCUUAACACAUGCAAGUCGAGCGGUAGCACAAGGGA
rnacentral:rRNA from 1 species